rnacentral:misc_RNA from 1 species
CACGUAGGCACCAAGCGUUGUCCGGAAUUAUUGGGCGUAAAGAGCUCGUAGGCGGUUCAGCAAGUCGGGUGUGAAAACUCUGGGCUCAACCCAGAGAUUGCACUCGAUACUGCUGUGACUAGAGUACGGUAGGGGAGCGGGGAAUUCCUGGUGUAGCGGUGAAAUGCGCAGAUAUCAGGAGGAACACCAGUGGCGAAGGCGCCGCUCUGGGCCGUGACUGACGCUGAGGAGCGAAAGCGUGGGUAGCAAACAGG